AUUGAACGCUGGCGGCAUGCCUUACACAUGCAAGUCGGACGAGUGGCGAACGGGUGAGUAACAUAUCGGAACGUACCGAGUAAAGGGGGAUAACUAAUCGAAAGAUUAGCUAAUACCGCAUAUUAUUCGAGCGGCCGAUAUGGGAUUAGCUGGUUGGUGGGGUACAGGCGUACCAAGGCGACGAUCCGUAGCGGGUCUGAGAGGAUGAUCGUCCACACUGGGACUGAGACACGGCCCAGACUCCGACGGGAGGCAGCAGUGGGGAAUAUUGUACAAUGGGCGCAAGCCUGAUCCAGCCAUGCCGCGUGUCUGAAGAAGGCCUUCGGGUUGUAAAGGACUUUUGUCAGGGAAGCGGUACCUGAAGAAUAAGCACCGGCUAACUACGUGCCAGCAGCCGCGGUAAUAC
rnacentral:rRNA from 1 species